GGAGAUUUAAAAGGCUCUCCCGCCUUUUCUUUGCUGUUUUUAUGUUGACGGUUGUCGUUUUGUUUGGAAACUGCAGCCGUUUAAUUUUCUGUCGUGCCUCGCUGCAGGAACAGCAGCAAAAGGAAGCGAUUUUCACUUUUUACAGCCACCUCGGGAUUUCAAAGCGACCCGCGGGGAACCCUCGGCACGUCCUGAACACAGCGACGGGAGGAAAGCUUGCUCGUGUCACUGAGUGCGGUUUGGGCCCUUCUUCAGCCAAUGAGCAGGAAUCGAGCUAAAUAAGGGAAAAAAAAUCCCUUUAACCUCAGCCCAUUGUUUUCACAGACGGUUUUGUUUGAAAUGGGAUAUAAUGCUUGCGGACGGAAAGAAACUUGACUGAAACGUAAACCGGAUUAAGGAUUUUUGUUUGUUGUAGCGAAUGUACUCCAUUUUAACUGCUGACUAUGCGAAGUUUACCAGGAUAUGAUGGUCCUGACGGUUCCACAACUGAGGUGCUGCUGAAUUGCAAUUAUAUACAGGGUUUUUAGUUCGUUCUUGGGAGGUGGGCGUCGCUGGCUAUGCCCAGCCCAUCUUUUGGUUCUGAGACACAUGGCGUAUUUGCGAAGCGAAUGAAGACAUAUUCACGAAUGUUUCGGUAAUCGUAUUCCUGAUCCGUCUCUCGCAGGCGAGAAACUUGCAGUCUUUCAUCAGAACGAAGAGACGACCAAGCUGAAAUAAUUAACUCGGUUUCUGUUGCUAUUUCAGAUUUCCAUCAUCUGCCGUGCCUUGCCUUUGAUUUGAAGUCGUUUCUUACUUGAGUUGUCUUUUAAUGCUGUACACUAGUUACUAUAAACACGGACGUACAGGAUAUACGAGACUUGCAGUGAAUAUGACACGGAAGAUCACACCGUCCUAACCAUUUGGAACUUUAAAUUUAUGAUAACUAUGUCCUCUUAAGUCUGAUUAUCCUCAAAAUUGGACCAAAAUAAAGUCAUUUUGUCACUGCUAUUGCACUAGAUCGUUCAACCCAUCAUUAAAACACAGCAGAGAUUGAGAGGAUUGACUUUCUCUUAUCAGUGUAUCGAAAGGAUACGGAAAAGAUAGUCUUUGUUCCGAAUGCGAUUGGACUGGAUGUGACUCUCAGUAUUUUGUCUGGCAAUGAUCAAAGAAGAAUUCAUAUGACAGUGCGGGCAGUCAGAAUCCAUUCAUGUGUUAUUCCGAAAGUAAGUCCCAGAUAAGAUCUGGCUGAUUUGGAAGAGGCUUCAGGCACUAAUCAAAGGAUGUCACCGCUCUUUUUCGGGGAAGAGAUUGGUCUUCCGAUACUCUGACCCAAAUAGGGGUCCUCUUAGACAAUUCGGCAGGAGGAGACUGGCAGUCCUAAUCUCCACGUUCUUCAAAACAAAAACACAAGUUACUCCUCAACAAAGUUAUCGAGGUCAUGACAAUUUUGUUUCCUUCCUCGUCUUUGCUUUUUCUAGUCUCCCAUUGUGUUCAAGCUUUGUACAACCGAUAUAGGAAAUGUCGCUGGACAUUCUGCUCUGCAAUGCUGCUCUCCCCACGUUCAUCCACUCGCCAUUAGAAGAACACAAUUAAAACUUGUUCUUAAGGCAUGCUGAUGAGUACGGAGAUGUUGUGAAAAGAUCUGCCCUAAGGGGAUAAUGUGGGGAAAGGGGAAAAAAACAUAAAAAGAGGGACAAUGUCUCAGAUAGCUCAUGUUCAGGUCAUGAUGGAUGCUUGAGGAACAACUAUAAUUUGACCAGGCAUUAAAGUUUAGGGCUGAUAAUUGAAUUCAGAGGCUUUAAUUCUGAGUCAUUUCUUGGUGAUGGUUCUAGAGAUUCAAUAUUUACUCCUUGUUGCAUUACCAUCUCUCUUUGCCUUUCCUUGAGUGUUGAAUUUUAAUUUUUAGACAAGUUUGGACAGACAAAUCUGGCAUCUUACCAGUAAUCCAAAAAAAACUUUCAAGGGUGCGUUUGGCAGUAUGAUUUUCCCAACCCAACACACCCAACCUUGCAUUUGGAUUCCAGGUUUCCCAAUUGCCCAGGAGUGUGAUGCUAACCUCCUUCAGUUUAUCCCAGCUCCAGUAUUUAAAGACAGCUGCACAAUUGAAACUGCAUCCAGGAAUCCUGACACAGCCAGGAGCUUCAUGGAGGGAUAUUUAACCCAAAAAGGCAGCACUAUAUUUCUUCAAUACUUGGACGUCCUGCUGCAGUUUGUUCAUGAGUACAGUGAGACUCUGUUCCCCAUGAGGCAGAAAGAAGUCAACUUCAGAAGACAAACGUACAUGACUGGACAUUGCUGAAGAGGUCAAGGGUAGUGCCUCACUCAGGUACGGUGCCACAAGAGAUUCAAUGAUAUGCCCAGGAUUGGAAAGUUUUUUUCCCAGAAGGAAUGCAAAUCAUUGGAGACACACAGAGAUCCGAGUGGACACCAUCUGUAGCUUGGAGAGCUAUGUUGCUUCAGGCCUACUUACCAAUAUUAUGGCCAUGGAAAGAAAGUGAUGAUGGAUGUUCCAUGUACAAUGAUGCAGGAAGCCAAGUACGUUUUGGCUUUCAAUGAGCUGCACAGUUAGACCACCAACUUAACCAGGACUGAAGAAAGUGACACCAUGUACAUUCAGUGUCUCACUGAACUGCAGUAAAAGUGAUUUCCAACUCUUGCCUAAGGAGAAAUGUGGUGAACCACACAAGGAAGGAUGGUGAAACUGAGGAAAAUACAGCACUUAACAGGACAGCGAGCACCCACGUGGGUUGACAGGCACUGGACAUUAUGCUGACCAUACCCACCCCCACACUUGAGGAGUGAAUGCUGCCACUCAGCGGAAGUCUGGGAAUGCUGAGACAUCCAAGCUCUGCAAAGCAAGCACCAGUCGUAUGUCAGCUACUCCGCAGUGAAACAGUCAGCACCACUCGCUGCCAACAGAAGCCACAUCAGCAUCUGAGAACAAGAGACCUUAGAGGAAGCAUUGACAAGGUUGCCUUGUGCACCCCUCAAGUCGUGACACCUCAGUGCAACUGUUAGGCUUAGAAGGCUUGGGACUGCAAUCUGGUAAGCUCCUCACUAAGAAAGUUCUGCAGCUGGCUGAUGAAUAAAAAACAUAGGUCACUGGCACUCUGAGCUGCCAGAAACCAGGCACAUUCUCAACCAAGGCAAGAGGGGACUCUGUUGUGUCAUCA